AUCCAGCUGACGAGUCCCAAAUAGGACGAAACGCGCGAUUUGGAU
rfam:Schistosoma curassoni strain Dakar, Senegal genome assembly, scaffold: SCTD_scaffold0000937